UACGGAGGGUGCAAGCGUUAUCCGGAUUCACUGGGUUUAAAGGGUGUGUAGGCGGAUUUUUAAGUCAGUGGUGAAAUCUCCGGGCUCAACCCGGAAACUGCCAUUGAUACUAUUAGUCUUGAAUUCUGUUGAGGUGGGCGGAAUACAUCAUGUAGCGGUGAAAUGCUUAGAUAUGAUGUAGAACACCGAUUGCGAAGGCAGCUCACUAAGCAGACAUUGACGCUGAGGCACGAAAGCGUGGGGAUCGAACAGG
rnacentral:rRNA from 1 species